rnacentral:rRNA from 1 species
UACGAAGGGGGCUAGCGUUGCUCGGAAUCACUGGGCGUAAAGGGUGCGUAGGCGGGUCUUUAAGUCAGGGGUGAAAUCCUGGAGCUCAACUCCAGAACUGCCUUUGAUACUGAGGAUCUUGAGUUCGGGAGAGGUGAGUGGAACUGCGAGUGUAGAGGUGAAGUUUCGUAGAUAUUCGCAAGAACACCAGUGGCGAAGGCGGCUCACUGGCCCGAUACUGACGCUGAGGCACGAAAGCGUGGGGGAGCAAACAGG